rnacentral:rRNA from 1 species
UGAGUAACACGUAGGUAACCUGCCCCGGAGCGGGGGAUAACAUUUGGAAACAGAUGCUAAUACCGCAUAACAACAAAAGCCACAUGGCUUUUGUUUGAAAGAUGGCUUUGGCUAUCACUCUGGGAUGGACCUGCGGUGCAUUAGCUAGUUGGUAAGGUAACGGCUUACCAAGGCGAUGAUGCAUAGCCGAGUUGAGAGACUGAUCGGCCACAAUGGAACUGAGACACGGUCCAUACUCCUACGGGAGGCAGCAAUAGGGAAUCUUCCACAAUGGGCGCAAGCCUGAUGGAGCAACACCGCGUGAGUGAAGAAGGGUUUCGGCUCGUAAAGCUCUGUUGUUGGAGAAGAACGCGCGUGAGAGUAACUGUUCACGCAGUGACGGUAUCCAACCAGAAAGUCACGGCUAACUACGUGCCAGCAGCCGCGGUAAUACGUAGGUGGCAAGCGUUAUCCGGAUUUAUUGGGCGUAAAGCGAGCGCAGGCGGUUGCUUAGGUCUGAUGUGAAAGCCUUCGGCUUAACCGAAGAAGUGCAUCGGAAACCGGGCAACUUGAGUGCAGAAGAGGACAGUGGAACUCCAUGUGUAGCGGUGGAAUGCGUAGAUAUAUGGAAGAACACCAGUGGCGAAGGCGGCUGUCUGGUCUGCAACUGACGCUGAGGCUCGAAAGCAUGGGUAGCGAACAGGAUUAGAUACUCUGGUAG